CCUACGGGUGGCAGCAGUGGGGGAUAUUGUACAAUGGGGGGAACCCUGAUGCAGCGACGCCGCGUGGGUGAAGGAGUGCUUCGGCAUGUAAAGCCCUAUCGGCAGGGAAGAAGCAAGACGGUACCUGACUAAGAAGCACCGGCUAACUACGUGCCAGCAGCCGCGGUAAUACGUAGGGAGCGAGCGUUGUCCGGAAUUACUGGGUGUAAAGGGAGCGUAGGCGGGCGAGAAAGUUGAAUGUUAAAUCUACCGGCUUAACUGGUAGCUGCGUUCAAAACUUCUUGUCUUGAGUGAAGUAGAGGCAGGCGGAAUUCCUAGUGUAGCGGUGAAAUGCGUAGAUAUUAGGAGGAACACCAGUGGCGAAGGCGGCCUGCUGGGCUUUAACUGACGCUGAGGCUCGAAAGCGUGGGGAGCAAACAGGAUUAGAUACCCUGGUAGUC
rnacentral:rRNA from 1 species